UAAGGAAUAUUGGUCAAUGGACGCAAGUCUGAACCAGCCAUGCCGCGUGGAGGAUUAAGGCCCUCUGGGUUGUAAACUCCUUUUAUCUGGGAAGAAAUGUACUUUUUCUUGAGUACUUGACGGUACCAGAGGAAUAAGCACCGGCUAACUCCGUGCCAGCAGCCGCGGUAAUACGGAGGGUGCAAGCGUUAUCCGGAUUCACUGGGUUUAAAGGGUGCGUAGGUGGGCAGGUAAGUCAGUGGUGAAAUCUCCGGGCUUAACCCGGAAACUGCCGUUGAUACUAUUUGUCUUGAAUAUUGUGGAGGUAAGCGGAAUAUGUCAUGUAGCGGUGAAAUGCUUAGAUAUGACAUAGAACAUCAAUUGCGAAGGCAGCUUACUACACAAUCAUUGACGCUGAGGCACGAAAGCGUGGGGAUCAAACA
rnacentral:rRNA from 1 species